CAUGGCUCAGGAUGAACGCUAGCGGCAGGCUUAAUACAUGCAAGUCGUGGGGCAGCAUGAGUAGCAAUACUUGAUGGCGACCGGCAAACGGGUGAGGAACACGUACACAACCUUCCUUCAAGCGGGGAAUAGCCCAGAGAAAUUUGGAUUAAUACCCCAUAAUAUAUUUGAUAAGGCAUCUUAUUAAUAUUAAAGCUUCGGCACUUGAUGAUGGGUGUGCGGCUGAUUAGAUAGUUGGCGGGUAACGGCCCACCAAGUCUACGAUCAGUAGCUGAUGUGAGAGCAUGAUCAGCCACACGGGCACUGAGACACGGGCCCGACUCCUACGGGAGGCAGCAGUAAGGAAUAUUGGACAAUGGACGAAAGUCUGAUCCAGCCAUGCCGCGUGAAGGAUUAAGGUCCUCUGGAUUGUAAACUUCUUUUAUAUGGGACGAAAAAAGGGCAUUCUUGUUCACUUGACGGUACCAUAUGAAUAAGCACCGGCUAACUCCGUG
rnacentral:rRNA from 1 species